UACGGAGGGAGCUAGCGUUGUUCGGAAUUACUGGGCGUAAAGCGCGCGUAGGCGGUUACUCAAGUCAGAGGUGAAAGCCCGGGGCUCAACCCCGGAACUGCCUUUGAAACUAGGUGACUAGAAUCUUGGAGAGGUCAGUGGAAUUCCGAGUGUAGAGGUGAAAUUCGUAGAUAUUCGGAAGAACACCAGUGGCGAAGGCGACUGACUGGACAAGUAUUGACGCUGAGGUG
rnacentral:rRNA from 1 species